AUGAACGCUAGCGACAGGCCUAACACAUGCAAGUCAGGGGCAGCACAAGGAGCAAUCUGAGGUGGCGACCGGCGCACGGGUGAGUAACACGUAUGCAACCUGCCUGUAAGCGGGGAAUAACCCGUUGAAAGACGGACUAAUACCGCAUAAUACUAAAUUACUGCAUGGUAAUUUAUUUAAACAUUUAUGGCUUACAGAUGGGCAUGCGCAUGAUUAGCUAGUUGGAGAGGUAACGGCUCCCCAAGGCAACGAUCAUUAGGGGUUCUGAGAGGAAGGUCCCCCACACUGGUACUGAGACACGGACCAGACUCCUACGGGAGGCAGCAGUGAGGAAUAUUGGUCAAUGGACGAGAGUCUGAACCAGCCAAGUCGCGUGCAGGAAGAAUGUUCCCUAUGGAUUGUAAACUGCUUUUGCAGGGGAAUAAAGUGCAUCACGUGCGAUGUUUUGUAUGUACUCUGCGAAUAAGGAUCGGCUAACUCCGUGCCAGCCGCCGC
rnacentral:rRNA from 1 species